AUGCGGCAUCGUGGUGCUUCGAUCAAAGCCGUUCCAUCUCGUCACUAUUGGCUCAAUAAUUUGGUCUUAGACGGUUAUGAUCAUGGGAAUCUACUGUGGCCCCACUUGUCAAAAUCGAAAUCUUGUGGCUGUACCUGUACGUGCACAAUGAAGACAUGGUUGGGCAGCGACAAAGAGGGACCUCCCAACCCAGACACCUUGGAGGAUGGGCGGGUCUGCAUGAAUUCUUUUUGUGGUUAGGCCUGUACCUGUACGAUAAUUAAGACAAUUUUAUUAGGGGCGUUGCUCGUUACUUUUAUUGUUCAUAAAUGAUCACUUUUAAUAUAGGAGUUAUUAAAAGGACAACAUCACCCUACAAAAUCACAGCUUGUAUAUUGUAAUCAAUGGCCAAUUUUAAUGAUGUAAUUAAAGUUUAAUCCAUAAGGUACAGUUGAUUCCCCUGCGUUUUAUGCCCUACAUUAUCACAUUUUAUCAUGAAUAGACCUACCGUGGGUUUGGAUACGGAUGAAGGACACAUUUUGCGUUUUGCAUUUUUUUUUUUUUUUUUUAUUUUCUUGCACGCGUUUGUGCUUUAGGGGACAAGAGUACUAUUAAUCACUGUUUACAGGUUAAAAAAUAUUAAAAAUGAGUCCAACGAUACUAUUCACAUAUUUAAAAAUUAUUUUGUUAUAAUAUUUUCAGUUUUCAGUUUUCAGUUUUCAGUUUUCAGUUUCAGCAAAAAUAAGUUAUAUCCAAACGGACCACUAUUCUUUAAAUAAAUUCCAUGUAUAAAUAUAUAUAUAUAUAUAUAUAUAUAUGUAUAUGGAUGAAUAUUACUCUAUUUGUCUUAAAUUAAAUUGCUGAUCUUGUUUAGAAAAAUCAACUUUUUAAAAGAAUGUUAUUUAUUAUCUUGUUUGUGGGUUUCAGUUAACUUAAUUGGUAAAAUUUUUUAUGAUUGUACAAAAGAUCUGGAGUUCAAUCCAAUGGACACCAUAAGUUGAAACUCUCUCAAAAAAAAAUUAUUAUCUUGUUUUUUAAAUUAAAAAGAUAUAAGUUUCUAAAAUUACCCGUAAACAAAGUUAAGAAAUGCUAUGUUCACAACAUUUUCAUAAACAAUUUUAUAAUAAAUUUUAUGUGACAAGUUUUUACUUGUUGUUACUAGUGGGCAAAAAAGUAAUUUCAAUGGUGGAUUCUGCCAAUUAGGAUUUGUUGUAAAAAUGUUAUGGACGUAACACUUCUCCAAAAAUUUUAUCAUUUAAAGUGCUUGUGUUUAAUAGGGGUAUUAUAGGAAACACACUAAAUUAAUGGCUUUAAUUUUAGAAAUGAUACAAAAUUUUGGAACAUCCCAAAAUAGAAUACAUGACCAACAAUUUUGGACAAAGAGAGUGUUUAAUAGCGAUGAGUAAUGAAAUAAAUCAAUGAUUGUCAAGAGCUUUAUAAUUCGAUUAGUUUGCACUUUCUAAUGUUUCAAACAGAGACAUUUAUACAUUAUUUAUACUCCAUGAUAUUCAAUAAAAUCAUCUCUUGAAAAUAAUAUAAUAUAAUAACAAUAUUGUUAUACGAUUUUUUUCCCUCUCCAAUUAAAAAAACUGAAACAUGAAUCGUCACACCUCCAAACAAUAUUAUCACAUGAUAUUAAAAAAAAUGAAAUAUUGAUAUUGAGUUUAGAUUAUAUUUAUUUAAAAACAUCCUGAUUAUAUAUUAAAUUAUAUAUAUGUGUACACGCGUGUGUGUUUAUAUAUAUUAUCAAUUAUAAAAUUUAGGUUUUUAAUUUCGUAACAACAUGCUACAAACCUAAAAUUAAAAAAUAUUUAUUGUAAACUAUUAGUAAAACACCAAUCAAUUAAACUAUAUAGGUGUUCUAGAGUUCUUUUCAUACAUAACAUGAGGUGUUCUAGAGUUUUUUUUCUUUUUUCUUUUUUACAGUAAACCUACAUGUGGUUUGGCCCGUUUUUACUUUACCUACAUGUAGUUUAAAACUUAAUACUUUGCCCUACCUAAGCUUCAAUCUGUUUGCUCUCCGUUACCCACCUCACCCUCAGAUGUUAGAAAAACACUUUUUUAAUACAAAUCACAAUAGAACACGGAUCAAAACCACGAACCCUUUGAAGAUUACUACUGAAUAGAAAGGUUGAAAAUUUUCCCGUAAGUGGUAAAGCCGUUCCUUGAAAGAAGAAAAGAUUUUCAGCUCCUCUACAACCUGCUAAAUUUAUUUAAAAAAGAAAAACGAAUGUCACCUCUUGAUUGAUUUUAUUGAAUCCCAUAUCACAAGGAGCAGAAGUAUAAAAAGUCACAUCUAAUCUAGAAAGGAAAAGAAAAUUACUCUAUAUGUGUUCAAGCUUUGUAUUGCUUCUAUAGGAUGAUGACAGUGCCCCAUCACUAUGUGGGAAACGGCUUCAUCUUCUGUUCUCUGGCAAUCAUUAAAAAGAAAAAAAAAAGUGAGAAAAAUAGUGACAUUAACGCUAUUAUCAUAUAAUGCAAAAUUUAUUAAAUCUGAAACAUUUAUAUAUAGGGGGGAAAUUAGAACUAACUUCUCAGACGAUUAUAACAUACAUGAAGAUCUAAAUCUUUCAUGUAAGCUACCUUCUUGUUAUUGUUCAAUCUUUUAAAGAUCCGAAAUCUUGCAGCUGAGAAUGGCUCAAGCUCAGUAGUUUCUUCUGGAGGUAUAUCUUCAAUCUUUGCUCUUUUAGAUGAAAUUAGCCUUGACCCAGCCUUCUUCUUAUUUUGGAGAAGGAUUUUCGUGAUUUUAAUGCUCAUGAGGAAAGAUUUCAAAGGAUUUGUGUUUUGAUCAGUGUUAUGUUGUGAUUUGUAUUAAAAAUAUGUUUUUCUAAUGUCUAAGGGUGAGGAGAGUAACAGAGAGCAAACGGAUUGAAGUUUAGGUGGGCAAAGUGUUAAGUUUUAAACCACAAAUAGGCAAAGUGAAAACGGAUCAAAUCACAAGUGAGUUUACUGUAAUUUUCCCUUUUUUUUUUUCUACAUACAAAAAAUUCCUAAGUGUUAUAAUAAUUAUUAUCAAGUUGAUAUAGCAAUAAGUCUCUUUUUGGUGUUGAUGUGAUGUAAACUUUGAUUUCUUAUUUUAUGGAGAGAAACAUUAUCAAUUGAAUUAAGUAGAACUCAUAGCUUGCUAAAAGUUUUGUAACUCAAUUGGUUAACACAAUAUAAUUUGCCCAUGAUAUCCAGGGUUUAAAUCUCCCUCUCAAUUCUCAAAUUGCAAAUAUCAAAUUAUCGAAAAAAGAAAUAGCCACAUAUUUGUAGAAUUUUGAUCUUAAAGCUUAGUACAUAAACUAGUGCUUUUAAUUUAACUAUUUAUUUUUUAUGAUAAUUACAUCAAUGCUUAUUAGUUAGUAUAAAUAUGUAAUAAAGCCUUGUCAUUUAAGCAUAAUAAGAGCAAUUACAUUAGCUUGUGCAUAAAUGUGCAAAAUGGAAAAACUAACUACUUUUACACAAUUUGAGCAAAAAAUCACCCACAUCAGUGGGUGUAAAUUUGUGUAUAAAUACACAAUUGCUACAGUAACCGUGCAUAUAUACACUGUUACUGUAGCAUGUGUAUUUAUUAUUUUAUUAAUUUUUCAUUUGCUCCUUUUUUUUCUCUCUCUUUUCCGUGCACAAUGAACUCAGGGGCAGCUCAUCUUUUUUUUCCUUAGAUGCACACAAACACACCCACGCACAAACACAUUUACACAGAGAAAUCAACAUAGAGAUACACAAACACACCCAUACACAAACAAACCCACACGGACAAACCAACAGAGAGACAGAUCGAUACUUGACUGGAGCUCGUGGGUCUUUCUUGAACGGAGCUCGUGGGUCUUGCUUGAUCGGAGCUUGACCGAGAUGGGUCUUGCUGGAGAUCGAAGCUUAACUGAGAUGGGUCUUGCUUGUGGGUCUUGCUUGAUCAGAGCUUGACCAAGAUCGGAGCUUGAUCUGUGUUGGUAUAGAGAUGGGUAGAGAGAUGGGUCUUGUUGGAGAUUGGUACUUAUUUGGAGAUUGGGUCUUGUUUAAGGAGUGAAGCUGUUUAUGGAGAUCUGACCGGGUAUAGAGAUGGAUGGAGAUGGGUAGAGAGAUGGGUGCAUAGAGAGAGCAACAAAUCAGAAAAAUCAAUGGGUGGAGUGAGAGAGCGCGCGUUUGUAAAUGGGGGUAGUUGAGAGAAAUAAUAAAAAAGUGGAGAAGAAUGAUUAUUUAUUGAAAUAUCUUGUAAAAUAGAUAAACUGAUGUGAAUAUUUUGUAAAAAUGAUAGUGUAAAAUAGAAAAAAUAAGUUUUAAGUGUAAAAUUGACCGAAUCUUAUACACAAGCCGUUGUAAUUGCUCUGAAUAAGGUAAAUAUUUUUUAGAAACAACUAAGGUACAUUUAAUAGUGUACACAAAUAAGGUUCUACCACUUUUGUCCAAAAAAAAAAAAAGUGUACACAAAUAUCAAGAAAAACACGGGUUUAAGCCAAUAAAUCUAUAUAUGUGUGUGUAUAUAUAUAUAUAAAUAUGGUCUUACUAUUUAAUAAGACCAUUGUUUAUUGAUUACGUAAAUAGAGAAGGAAAUAGUAUAAAAAAAAAAAAAAAAAUCCUUGAGUGAGCUUGAGGAGAGACAAGUAACGCCAAAGCAUGCAUGUAAUUCUGAGCUGAAAGGCCAGAGAGAGAGAGGGAGAGCGAGAGAGAGCAAUAUCCAUCAAUCCCCAUAAAAUAAAAUAAAUAGUAGAGACUAGAGUAGAGACACACAAGAGUGGCCAAAACCAAACAAUUUGACCCACACGCAUUCUCUUAUCUCUCUCUCUCUCUCUCUCUCUCUCUCACUUCAGUCGGUGUAGGAUCAGUAGUCAGCCCUCCUCAAAUGUAGAAACUUUAUACUACGACCAUACCAUACAUCAUUUUCCACAAACUCACCCUUCUCUCACGGUAAGCACUUUCACUUUCCUCUCUUAACAGUUUUUCUAUUUUUUUAAUUUUUCUUACCCCCUUUGUUUGUUUCCCGAGAAAGAAUCAUAUUAAACAGAGUAAUAGGGAUCUUAUCACUGCCUCUCAGUCCCACACCUUUUCUGGUUGUUACCAGUUUUCAAUUUUUCUUUGAUUUCCUUUUCUCUGGAACCCAUGUUGUAAAAAAAGCUUCUUCCUUGGAUAUUUUGUGUUUGAGUUGAAAUUCAUUGGAAUUUUGAGGUCUUAAAGACUCUGUUUGGUUGCAAAUGGUUUAGGUACUUUUUUUUGUGGGGGAUUGAUUUGGGAGAUGAGCAAAGAACACACACCUGAGCCUCUUGAUUUCUUUAUUUGGACUGUUGAGGUACUGUAUUUCUCUGUCUCUAUCUGAUUCUAGUUGUUUGGGUCCUGUUUCUGCGGUUAGAUCUUGUUUAAUUAAUUAAUUAUUUAUUUAUUUAAUUAUAUUUGAUUUGGGUUUCUAUGCUGAUAUACUAGAAUUGCUUGUUCGGGAGGUUUGAUCGUGGUUGGUAAAUUGGUUCUGUGUUAUCUGAUUGUUUUUGUAUGUACAAUAAUUGAAUUUUCUAAAUUUUGGGUUUUUUAUCGUUUGUUUUUAAAUUUGAUUGUGAUUUUGGGUUGAAUUUAAAUCUGGGUAUUAGUUGAAUUUGAUAGUAUUUAGUGAUUCAUUUUGGUGGGUUAUGUUGAAUCGUGGAAGUUUGGACAGGAAAGUUUUUGUUUCGAUUAUUUUGUUGUAAAACCUGACUUAUUGGCUCUAAUAACGGUAACUAGAGAUUAUGUUGAUUUUUUUUAAUUAACGGUCUUUUCUAACAUUCGAGCAAGGAAUUUGGGGUCCGGUUUCUAUACAAUGCAUUUGUAAUUUGAAAGGACUUGUGUUUAUGUAGGAUAUAAAACUUUUAACUUUGUUGUCUUGUUAUGGAUGUCAUAUUUACUUUUCCAAUGAUGUGGAUUGGUAUGAAAUGACGCAUCCUAAUAAGCACAUUUGAAAAGAGUUUUUUUCUUCAUAUAUUCAAGUCUAUCCAAUUAGAAUUCUAAAGUAAUACUGUUAAGUGUUGCAAUUAUUGGUUAAAUGCCUGAGCAAUAUGGGGUCUUGAUUGUACUCGUACAACAUUAUUUCGAAAGUUACAGUGUAACUACCCAAAUUCUGUAUCACCAUUGCACAUAUGUGAGACCUAGCAUGUUAUACAUGAAUGCUUCUAAUUGUCUUGGAGCACCUACUCCAUAUCACCAUUGCAUGUAUCCGAGACCUAGCAUGUGCUACAUGGAUGCUUCUACUUUGGAGUUCUUUGUUUGAAAAUUGAAUGUUAUGUGGCUGAGAUCUGGCUAGGUGUUCAGCACAGUUGCUAAAAAUUGCAUCUCCUUGUUUCUUUCUGUGUUUCCUGUGCUAUUCUGUUCUAUACAUCCUGUGCAGAAGAAUAAUGCUUUAAUAAAUUUUAUAUUUUGAUUAAAAGUUGCUAGAGAUUGCAGCAUCAUAACACAAUAGAAACUAAAAGAGAUUGCCUGUUAAGACAUAUUAGGCAACUAGAAGGGGACUAAGAUAAAAUAAUUAUGGUGAUAAAGGAAACAAUUUUUUUUUUCCUAGUAGAAUUAGGGGUGGCAAAGUCGAAAACCAUUUGCCCACCCAAACCCACCCACUCUAAUUGAACCAAAACCCACACAAUUAUUAAUUGGGUUAAAUGGGCAUCAACCCAAUUAGACCCAGUGAUUAUUAGCUUUUAACUAAAAACCCAUUGAGCCCCAUUUAACCCAAAAACAAUAUAACCAAAUUCAACCUAGCCUUUUCCAUAAAAUUAAAAAAAAAAAACCCUCAGACGUUUCAGUGUUUUAGGUUUUCAUUUUCUUUCAUUUUCUCGGCCUCCAAACACUUCUCUCUCUCUCUCUCUCUCUCUCUCUCUCUCUCUCUCUCUCUAAAUUCGGGCAAAGAAAAGCAAAGCAAAAUCUUGGUUAAGCCAUUGGCUUUGGCUACUACGUCUUGUGCCUUUUGCAAAAAACCUUCUUUGCUCGACGACAUCGUUUCCAUCACCUUCAGCAAUUUUUCUGUUAUCGACACCGUUGAUGACGGGUUCAGAUCCGAAAUCAGUUUCGCCACCGAUUUUAUUGCCCCAAGUUGGACCAGUUUCGAUCUUGCUCGUUUCGGCAUUGAGAUUCAGAUCAAGCAUGACAGUCCUGCUUCGAUUACAGAUUCGUUUUCUGGAGAUAUUAGUUUGAGUAAUUCCUCCAAUAAGCUUUCCUUUUCUGUGAUUAUGAGCUUCUAUUCGGUGUUGUUUGCGAUUGUUUCCAAAACUCUAGCCGAUGCGAUUUUUGACUCUGUGCUUCCUUGCUGUAAAACCUGAAGAAUUGAGGCUAAGGAAUCAAGGUCCGUCUUCAAAAACAAAUCCCUCAGCUGCUCUUGCUCUUCGAUUUUGCUCAGUACCAAUUCCAAAACCAUAACCACUUGUUCAAGAAAAUGGUGGUUGUAAUUUCUACAUGUUCCUUCAGCAGCAAACGCUUUCGAGACGACGUUGUUGAUGGUAGAGCUUCGUCUAUGAAAAAUGCAAGCUAGAAACUUUUUCUCUAUUCUUUUUUUUUUUUUUUUUGGUAAACAACUUUUUCUCUAUUCUUUGUUUGGUUAGUUAGAAAGUGACGGAAUUUGAAGGAAAAAUGUUCAUUUUCACUUUAAUGGCAUUUUGGUAAUUUUGAUAAUUGGGUAAUUGGGUAAGUUGGGGUUUACCCAUAAUAAUUGGGUUGGGUUAGAUUUGGGUUAGAAGUAAUUAGUUAAAUGGGUUUUAAUGGGUAAAUGGAUUUUAUAUACCCAACCCAAUAAUGCCCACCCCAAACCCACCCAUUUGACACCCCUAGAAUGAAAGUUAUUUAUCCAAAUAAUAACAAUAAUAAUAAAAAGAACAGAGAAAAGAAAAUUUGUGUUAGUUGGUAGUUGUUCAUUCACCAUGAAAACUAGUUUUAUGUGAUGUGGAUUAAGAACAAUGAAAGGGUUCCAAAACCAUGCAUUUUUUUGUUAACAAACUAGUGAGGUACGCUAAAGCUUCAAAGAAAUGCAUGUGGAAAGCAAUUUUUUUAAUGGUGACUGAAGGAAAUGUGCUUUGGUUUUGUUAAUUAUUUUUGUUUGUAUGUAGCCUAAAAAUUGACGUGAACACUGUGCUAAUAGAAGUGAACUAAGGAACAUAAGCUUAUGUUUUUGCCAUUUUCAAGUCUUGGUAAUGUGUAUGUGACUUUCAAAAAAUAAAAAUGAAAACCUAAAGAUAGGGAUAUGUGGCUCAUUGGCAUGUCUCCUCCACAACAUUUUUUCUGUUUUGCCAGGAUGUUGGUUUGUGGUUGGAAGAGAUAAACCUUGGUAGUUACCGCCAGAUUUUUAAAGAAAAUGGUGUCAAUGGAGAAUACCUGGAAGGCAUGUCCAUGUUCACUACUGAGCAGAUUCUUCGGUUUAUAAGACGAUGCCACAUGAAAUGGGGAGACUUCAUCACUCUAUGCAAGGAACUCAGGCGAAUUAAAGGUCUCUCUCUCUCUCUCUCUCUCUCUCUCUCUCUCUCUCUCUCUCGCGUGUGUAGGUGCAGGGAUAAAUGCGUGUGUACAGCAAAUUUUUGUAUCUGAUGACUGUCACUGAGAAGUUAGUUUAGCGUGAGAAAAUUUGUUUAGUCAUGCUACUUCUUAGAAGUUUUAUGGUUAGAGAAUUCUGAUUAUGUCUGUGGUCUCUUCUGGAAGAAGCUUUUGUGAUCACUUUUUUCUCAUGACAACUUCAGAAUGCCUCAGUUGUGAACUUAUAAAAUCUUGGCAUUGUUGAAUAUGCUUCAUAUGAGGGUGUGCUUUGGAACGUUAACAAUGUAACUUCUAUGGAGGAUGGCACUCCAUUCCCUUACCUGAGUAUUUUGUAACCUUGAAUGUUCCUUGUUUUUAGUGGUUGUUUUCUUAUAAAAGUACAAUUGGCAUACCUUUUGGGAUUGAAUCCCUGGCCUCACUCUCCCACCCUUUUUUAUUGGCCAAAAGAAACAUGGGGAGAAAGGGGGAAAGCCAUUUGGUCCAAAGACCAUAGGUGUCAUAUUUUAUUGUCGAAGAUCUAAAGGAAAAAUCUCAGUGCUUCACUAAUGCUGUAUUUUGUAUUUUGUAAACUGAAGGCUGUUGAGUAAUUUUGUACUUUCAUUGUUAAUGUUAAUAGGAGGAAAAUUCUAAUCUUUCUAAAAACAUGAAGGAAAAUGGGUUGUUUAUAUUUAUGAGAUGUGUUUCUCUUGAGGAAUAGGUUGGCUGUGACUGUUUCAUUCUUCUCAAAUAUCUAGGUCAUUUUACUGAUAAGCACAAAUGUUAGUCAUGAUAUUGCAUUUCCAGUCAGCUGCACUACUAAAUUUUCAUGUUAUUCCAUUUUUCUGUCAUAACAACUUGAACUUUAAUUGAGAAACUGAUGUGUAGUAUCUUUUUUAUUCUUUUGAGUAAUGAAAUGAGUGCCUCCUUCAUCUUUUGUUUGUGUGUGUAUGCAGUACUCUCUCUUAAAUAAUGAAGUUGAUGCAUGGUUCUCUAGAUAAAGUCUGUGUAUUUUUAGGAAGAUAUUUGUUAUUUACUUCUGGACUGGAUACUUAGCUGUGUAUACUGAAACCUAUUACAUCUCCAGUGGCUUGCCUGAAAGGGGAACAAAAGGUCCGCCGGCCGUGGUGGGCUCCAUCUUGUCUCUCAGUACUCUUUGUCAAGGUGGCAAAACGUAACAGACAGUCGCGAGUUGUUUCCUUGAAACUGGAACCGUGA
rnacentral:sRNA from 1 species